rnacentral:rRNA from 1 species
UAGGGUCUUCCGUUGGUGACCAGCGGAGGGAUCAUUACUGAGUGAUAAAACCCCCAACCCUAUGUGAACUUACCACUGUUGCCUCGGCGGGUCCCCCCGGGCGCGUUCGCACUACCCGGACCCACGCUACCGCCCCACGCUCCAAACUGCUGUCUUUGUUAUAUUACUGAUCUCUGAAUGCUUCAACUUAAUACUUUAAAACUUUGAUCUCUUGUCUCUUGGUUCUGGAAGAACUGAACAAAAUGCCAAAAUGAAUGUGAAUUGGUGAAUUGCAUAAUUCAUCGAAUCUUUGAAUCUUUGAUGGCCCCUUGAGCCUUCUGGUAUUCUUGCCUGCAUGCCUGUUCUAGCGACCCUUCAACCCUUAAGCCCCUGUUGCUUAUUGUUGGGAAUCCUGCCCCUGGGGGCUAGGGCCCUGAAAUCCAGUGGGAGUUCCCUCGUACUCUCUCCGUGCAAUACCAUUCUCGCUUUUGCAGGAUAGCCGGCGGCUUGCCGUAAAACCCCUAUAUCUUCUCAGGGUGACCUUCAAACCAGGAAGAAAUCCCGGUUAACUUUAACAUAUUAAUAAAGGGAAAAAAAGU